rnacentral:rRNA from 1 species
CACGUAGGGGGCAAGCGUUGUCCGGAUUUAUUGGGCGUAAAGAGCUCGUAGGUGGUUCGGUAAGUCAGGUGUGAAACCUCCAGGCUCAACCUGGAGACGCCACUUGAUACUGCUGUGACUGGAGUCCGGUAGGGGAGCGUGGAAUUCCUGGUGUAGCGGUGAAAUGCGCAGAUAUCAGGAGGAACACCGAUUGCGAAGGCAGCUCGCUGGGACGUUACUGACGCUGAGACGCGAAAGCGUGGGGAGCAAACAGG